UAAGCGAGUAGUGAAAGCGUUCGGCUCAACCGGAUAUACAUUACUUGAACUGCUAAGCUUGAGGAUGAGAGAGGUUAUUGGAAUUCCCAGUGUAGGAGUGAAAUCCGUAGAUAUUGGGAGGAACACCGAUGGCGUAGGCAGAUAACUGGCUCAUUCCUGACACUAAGGCACGAAAGCGUGGGAGCAAACGGGAUUAGAUACCCCGGUAGUCCACGCCGUAAACUAUGGAUGCUA
rnacentral:rRNA from 1 species